GUUGUAAAUCCUGCCCACUUCUUUGCAUUGUCAGCACAUGCUUCAGUGCUCUGAGAGUGUUUAUAGUGCUGUGAGUUUAACACUUCAUGACUGAGAGCAGAACAGAACAGAAUCUUCAUCAUCACACAAGACAAAACAACAACAAUGAACAACAUCAUCAUCUUCAUCUGGACACUGCUCUGCUGUAUAAAAGGCUCCAGUGGACAGAUCACAGUUACUCAAACUCCUGCAGUUCGAACAAUUGAACCAGGAAAGGCUGUUGUGAUGAGAUGCACCGCCAGCACUCCUUUAACAGGCUGCAACCCACCAUGUCUGUCCUGGUACUUACAGAAACCUGGAGAAGCUCCUAAACUCCUCAUAUAUAAAGCAACAAGCCGUUACACUGGAACUCCAUCUAGAUUCAGUGGCAGUGGAUCUGGCAGUGAUUUCACUCUGUCCAUCAGUAGAGUCCAGACUGAAGAUACAGGAGAUUAUUACUGUCAGAGUUACCAUAGUGGUCCAGUGUUCACACAGUGAUAAAGAGUCGUACAAAAACCUCUGUCAGUCAGAGUCACAGUGACUGCACUGAUACAGAUGAGAGAAACUGCAGCUGCUGAUGGGAGGAUGACAAACAACACAAUGACACAGCGUAUCACACA